ACAGCCCCGUACACAAAAAUGCACAUGCUGUGAGCUCGAUGAGUAGGGCGGGACACGUGGUAUCCUGUCUGAAUAUGGGGGGACCAUCCUCCAAGGCUAAAUACUCCUGACUGACCGAUAGUGAACCAGUACCGUGAGGGAAAGGCGAAAAGAACCCCGGCGAGGGGAGUGAAAAAGAACCUGAAACCGUGUACGUACAAGCAGUGGGAGCACGCUUAGGCGUGUGACUGCGUACCUUUUGUAUAAUGGGUCAGCGACUUAUAUUCUGUAGCAAGGUUAACCGAAUAGGGGAGCCGAAGGGAAACCGAGUCUUAACUGGGCGUUAAGUUGCAGGGUAUAGACCCGAAACCCGGUGAUCUAGCCAUGGGCAGGUUGAAGGUUGGGUAACACUAACUGGAGGACCGAACCGACUAAUGUUGAAAAAUUAGCGGAUGACUUGUGGCUGGGGGUGAAAGGCCAAUCAAACCGGGAGAUAGCUGGUUCUCCCCGAAAGCUAUUUAGGUAGCGCCUCGUGAAUUCAUCUCCGGGGGUAGAGCACUGUUUCGGCAAGGGGGUCAUCCCGACUUACCAACCCGAUGCAAACUGCGAAUACCGGAGAAUGUUAUCACGGGAGACACACGGCGGGUGCUAACGUCCGUCGUGAAGAGGGAAACAACCCAGACCGCCAGCUAAGGUCCCAAAGUCAUGGUUAAGUGGGAAACGAUGUGGGAAGGCCCAGACAGCCAGGAUGUUGGCUUAGAAGCAGCCAUCAUUUAAAGAAAGCGUAAUAGCUCACUGGUCGAGUCGGCCUGCGCGGAAGAUGUAACGGGGCUAAACCAUG
rnacentral:rRNA from 1 species